rnacentral:rRNA from 1 species
UACGGAGGGGACUAGCGUUGUUCGGAAUUACUGGGCGUAAAGCGCACGUAGGCGGAUUUGUAAGUCAGGGGUGAAAUCCCGGGGCUCAACCUCGGAACUGCCUUUGAUACUGCAAAUCUCGAGUCCGGAAGAGGAGAGUGGAAUUCCCGGUGUAGCGGUGAAAUGCGCAGAUAUCGGGAAGAACACCCGUGGCGAAGGCGGCUCUCUGGGACGGUACUGACGCUGAGACGCGAAAGCGUGGGGAGCGAACAGG